rnacentral:rRNA from 1 species
GAUGAACGCUGGCGGCGUGCUUAACACAUGCAAGUCGAACGGGCGGAGGGAGCUUGCUCCCGAAGCUAGUGGCGGACGGGUGAGUAACGCGUGGGUAACCUGCCUCAUACAGGGGGAUAACAGUGAGAAAUCACUGCUAAUACCGCAUAUGCGCACAGUACCGCAUGGUACAGUGUGGAAAACUCCGGUGGUAUGAGAUGGACCCGCGUUGGAUUAGCUAGUUGGUGAGGUAGAGGCUCACCAAGGCGACGAUCCAUAGCCGGCCUGAGAGGGUGGACGGCCACAUUGGGACUGAGACACGGCCCAG